UUUUUUUUUCUUAAUCGUCGCUGUGUCACUCUCGUUGAAAUCGGACAUCCGCACGUGUCCACGAAGGACUUUCUCGUCCCAGGGUCCGGCUGUAGUGGGCCAGUGGAUUGGAAAUGUACGUACUGGAGGUCGUCACUCUAGUCGAUUUUUUCCUCCCUUCGAUCUCCAAAUAGCUGCCUUGUGAAAUUAAAAUGAAGGGAAGCCUGCUAGAAUUGAUUAAUGUGGCCACGCUGGGGCUUGCAUUCAUGCGGAGUAUAUUCGUGACCACUACGUUGGCUCCUACGUUCAAUGAACAUGUGCGAGUUUGAUUCGACGGGCGACGGUGACGUGAAGAUAAUGGCACUCAUCACCACUUGGGUUAAGAGUGUGCCAGAGCUACUACCAGGCAGCGGAGAUGAUCUAGGGCCAGGAGCAAGCACAGCUGGAAUUUUAAGGGCAAAGGACCUCGACGGCUCGCCAUCCGUGUGCCAAGAGGCUGGCACGUCAGCGGUUUCUGCUUGUACCAUGUACGUGUCGGUCAAGCAAAACUGUGGGCGGGGUACGUACGUCGACCAUGACGAUUCGCGUUGUCGUGAAACUUUUCUUAGCUCUGAAGGCGCCAAGCCUGGGCCUACAAAAUUAACAAAUUAAGGGAACGAGCUGAAAAGGCGGGACCAUGCAUCUUUGGGCUUUGGAUCGAUGGCGACGCGACCUCGCGUCCUAGUAGUUCAUUGUAUCAGACCGUAACUCUAUUUCCCCCCUCAACUCUAUCUGUGAGCAUGAACUGAAAUGAACGGGCAAAGGCAAACGACAGACCGUCCUCUCGUCAGCUAACAGGGUGGUGCAUGAACUUGGUGCUAUGGGUACAAAGGAGUUUGUGUACCGCUGUGUUGAUGGACAGGACCAGACCACGUACUGGAAUUGGUUUGUCGCAUUGUGUGUGUGUGUGUGUUUUUUUAAGAAAACAAUCGGACUCCAGAGUUGAGAGAAGAAACGCCUUAAUUGAUUUCUACUGCAACAUGGAAUCCACCACGUGAACAUAAUAUUUUCUUCACUCUGUCAGUCUGUCGCUGACUGCUGGCGGCUGGUGCUGUGGCGCAUGUGCAGAUUGCACUAGAUAUGAUGUCCCAAUCAAAACGAUCAUUUCUUUUUUCCAGAUGCAGAUUGAUAAAUAAGUCGUGCCAGUAAUCUUCGACCUCUAGACGACGGCCAACGCACCCGGGCCACCAGAUUCUUGGCACGUAAGCAGAUUUGUCGAUGACGCCGAGUAAGGGGGCCCAAGCUGACAAGCGUGGCCACGGACAGGUUCUAGGACAAGACUUCGCCAGCAAGCAGCGCCCGGUUGUAGCAUCAAAAUACACGCUGGCUAAAUGCUGAGGUGUCGUCGCGUCAUUGUGACAUUGUCUGGCUGUGAAUCCUUGACAAAAAUCAGCGCGCCCGCAGAAGAAUAAAAACAGAAGCCAUUAAGAUCUAUUCCCUCCGUCUCAAAAUAAACGACGUAGAUUUGUAUAUCCACGUCACUUAUUUUGAACUCUGCACAGCCCGUGGCAGAAGCUUACUCGUGCUGAAAUACACACCACCACUCCCAACAUUACAAACCAAAAUUUCACCGCCAUUUCGACGCUCGCACUAGUGCUGCUGUAAAUUUGGCAGACUCCGCAAACUACGACAGAACCUCGUACGUUCAGUAAAAAAAUGCAUUUGGCAUUCCAUGAUCACACACACCCCCUUCCGUCCGGCCGGUUCAAGAACCGAACCUGCAUCAGUAGUUCAGUACUAAUAACAAUAACAGAGCCAUCAGGAAUUGGGAUAGGAAACUUUCCAAUUCUCGGUUGUUCUUUGGAUCUUCUUUUUACAGAAAGACAGGGGUUUUCCCCAUUCCCAUUUUAUUAGCUCGAGACCACAUCAUCCACAGUUCAGCACCUCAGAAAGUCAGAAGUAAAGCAAACAAACACACAGACCAGCAAAACAUAGCUCUAGACUACUGUAUUGCAAGACCAGCAAAAACAGCCGAAGCGGCAGAUACGAAGACUACAGCUUCAGGCAGUCGCCAGAACCAGUUUCUUUGGACCUUCUUCCCUCUUUCAGGCUUCAUCAACCCCCCGCCGGCACGACGCGGCUGCGACCGCCGCCGCCGCCGCCGCCGCCACCUGCGUUGGGGACGAAGCACCGGAAAAGGCUCGCGAAUAUGCUUGGCUUCACCUGCCCGCGCCUCGGCAGUGGUCGCCUCGCGUCGCCCUGCCGCUCCAUUGGUACGGGUGCUGCUGUUGGCGCCUUCUUGCGCAGGAAGCUAAGCUGAGGCUGGAGACAAGAUCGACCGUACGGGCGUACGGAGUAGUAUCAGUAUGUUCGUGCUUAUCCGCGAUGUGUGAGGAGUGAUUACAGGCUUUGCCUGUUUUAUUUGUAGCAGCAAACGCGCACUUGUGUGUGUGUGUGUGUGUGGUGGUGUGUGUGUGUGUGUGUGGGGUUGGGUUAAGAGUUUGAACUCUUUGAUGUUUGCACCUUUCCGGAGAUCGGUCUUCGAUCGGCAUCUUGGCACUUUCAACUUUUGUGUCUGAAACUUGGGACAGCACCGCACGCUAAUGCUAGUAUACUCCACUUCUACUGGUGUAUUAUCUUUCAGGUUGCAUGACAGUCAGUCAGACACUGCGACAUAGAGGGAAAGAUUUAUCUGACCAACGUAUAGCAGCACAGAUCACUGUAGCCGUUUUUUUUUGCUGUAGCAAUUAUUUUGUGCUCUAGCAAUUAAUCUAAAAAAUGGAUGUUCGAGAUUGUGUGCGGUCAAGUUUCAGGUCCGUUCAACAUGGCCCGCCUAGGUGCAGAACCUCCAGCCACACAUUGCUCCGUGGGCAGCAUCGUGCACCCAAACAAAUAAUUGGUUCUAUUCUGAGCACAACACUAGGGCCGCCUUAACAGUGAUCUUUGAUUUCUAGCUAAUGAUGGUCCGUGCCUCUAAGAAUUACUUCAACGUGCUCUCCCCUCUCCGCCUCUCCGGUGAGAUCAGCGCAAAAGCGCCGCACGCCACGAAGAGCACGACUUGCGGCUGGCGCCCAAGUCGCCGAUUAUUUUCCUCUACAUUUUUUAGCCGGGUUUGGCCAGUGGGACUAGAAAAGUGCCACCGCUUUCUCGGUUUCUGUUACUAGCAAUUUUGUUUACAGAUGAUGUAAACGGCCGGGGCCCCGUAGAACACCACCACCAGAUACAGCUUGCAGGAGAAGACUUGGCUGCGAAGCACCUCGAUCCGCCUAGCAUCACAUCAGUACUGUACAUGCAUGCUGAUGUGUCGUCGCCUCAUUUGGGGAGCAGGGCAAAUUGUGCGCUUGCGAGCAAAUCAGCGCCUGUCGGAGAGAACAAAAACUGCCCCAACCUCGCAGUCGCAGCCAAUUCUCAAGAACACGAGAAAGAAACACACGGCAGUGAUUUUGCACUUUCGCCAACGUCAACGUAGACAAUGUAGGAAUACCGUACAAGUAUCAGGAAGCAGAGAGCUUGUUCGAUGAUGAAUCGAUGUUUUUCUUCUUACUCUGCGAGCAAGGUGCAGAGAGCGAGUUUGCUCAAUCAACGUUACCAAAAUGUAAUACUCUGCGACCAAGAUGCAGAGAUCUUAUUCAAGUAAAGAAACCGGAGUACACAACAACACUACAGACCAGAAAUCCACCACCAAUUCACCCCCCCCCUAAAUAGCAACGAUAUCAAAUACCCAAAACUGACACUAAAUUGCUGCUAGACGGAACUACAGACUCCAGUUGCCGGCGGAACGUCCAACAAGUAGUAGUACUCCCCACCAGCGUACCCAACCCCCAAAGCAACCACCCUCAUUUUGUGUUCAAGAGAUCAGCUUUCGGCCCGACAAUCGGACCUGCAGCGAUCUCCACUGGAACCGGAGAAACCCCAAUUCUUGAUUCUUCUUCAGACUUCAGAUCUUCUUCCCUUCCCUCGGGCCGAGUUGGAUCAACCACCGGGCCCGACACGGCGACCGCCGCCGCUGCCGCCGCCGCCGCUUCCCUUGGGCUUGCCUUCCUUCCGCUCGCCUUGGGGCGCCGCCCUGGGGACGAAGCACCCGAAGAGGCUCGCGAAUAUGCUCGCCUUCACCUGCCCGCGCCUCGGCAACGGCCGCCUCGAGUCCGCCUGGCGCUCCAUUGUUCGCGGCGGCUGAGUGGCACCUUCUUGCUCAAGAAACUCUGCACCGCGGGAGAAACGCGAAGGCUGGAGACAGACAAGAGGGCAAGUCAAGUGUGCGAUGGGUCUGUGUUUGUGUUUGUGUUUGUGUGUGAGAUGGGAGAGGAGUGACACGAGGGCUUUGCCCUUUUAUGCAGCUCUGGGGAAGAGUGGGGGCCAAGCUUCCUUGGGGUGCAAGCAGAUCACUCUCCAUCAAAGUUUGAACUCUUCUAGAUUCUUUUGUGUAGCUCCCAUUUUUCGGUCUCUGAAACUUGGGAUUUUACUGUGCUGCUUAUGUUUCAGACUGCAUGACAGAUACCAGCUGGCAAGCUUUCUGGAUACGCUACCUUCGGAUAUGGAUACCAAAACACAACAGCCUGGUAAAACCGCUGUUAUCAGUUACUCCAGCCUCCAGCAAGCAAAGCCUGGCUAGAAAAACC
rnacentral:lncRNA from 1 species